AAUGCUUGUGAAAAAAAUGUAGAACACCCACUGAAUUGUACACAUACCAAGGUCGGACACCAAAGUAUUGGACAUGGAAGUAGUUCCAGAACAGGAAUCAUGAUUCAGGAAAGAAGAUAACAAAUAUAUGAGCUUGUAUAUGCGUUCUUUUCCUCGUCUGUGAAAGCACUACACCACCAUAGAAGUGUGUUGCCGCAGUGCUAAUGCUCUGCAACUGUUGCUCCUCACCACAUCACUCCGCAUCCUCCCAGCUCUACUUCUUCUCGUCAGAACUAUAAGAAAAUCGGAAAGUUAAUAAUCAAUAAUCAACCAGAUGGGAACAGGAAGUGGAGUGGGGAGGAAGAUGUCGCUGGCAAGGAGAAGGACGGACCCGGUGAGGGGUCGAAGCAGGA
rnacentral:lncRNA from 1 species